rfam:Janibacter hoylei PVAS-1 Contig22, whole genome shotgun sequence.
GGUCACGAGUACCAGCGACAAGCCCCGGCUAGCUGGUCGGCAACCCUCGUCCGCGGUGGGGUGCUCCGGGUGACGACCUGGCCGGCGACGCAGUGUCGCCCGGCAAGCGCGGACU